CGGGGUGCGGGUCGCCAGCAGAUCUCCAGCUCGGGCAGUGGAACCCGGUCCCAGGACGGUGAUCGCGAAGCAGAGACAGCAGCCUCCCGUGGCUCCGGCCUUCUAGACCGACCGCUGGUACCACCGUGGCAUGGGUCGCCCGGGACGCGCUACCUGCAGGGGGCGGAAGUUGGGGAGAGGAGUUCCCGUUCCUAAGGCGCCGGCAUCGCUCCUCCUGCCGCUUCCCUGUUCUGACCCAUUCCCGGCGACGGAGGAUGAAGGUGGCGAAAGAUGUUUGGACAGCCGUCGCUCCCCUCCGUGCUUUUCUCCUGCUGCUGGUUAGCUUGGAUGGUGAUGGUGUCACCUGGGGUCCUGGAAUCUCUGGGCCCGCAUCCUCGUUACCGGAGAAUUCGUUAGAACGGCACAUUCACGACCACACCUAAACCUACGGAAUCAGAAACGCCACUAGUGGGGUCCUCCCUGAAAUCUGGUUAACCAGCUCCCAAGGUGAAUCUGAUGGCCCGUUUCCCUAAUCUGUAGAGACCCCUUUUCGUGUAUGGCGCAGAAAACUUAGCGUCGUCUGCUCCUGUGCGAGCUCUUAAAGGUCUUGUCCUCUCCUCCACCUCUGGCCUCUUCACCUUAGGACACUAUGCUAUCCCACUUCUCGGGGAGAUAAGAAAGGGUGGCUUGACACAUACUGCUUUUAAGAGACUACCGACUACCAGCUCUAUUUGAGUGUCAACCAAGAGCAAGGGAGUGGCUGAGAUUAUAGUAGCCCCGCUGGUUAUUUUCAUCAGUUGGCACUUAGGAGGAAAAAUAUAUAAAUAAAAGGAGGCUUGCUGUCUUGCGAAGUAAGUACUGGACAGCCGCUGGCUGUUGGCAGUGUUACUUUGAUUUGCUGUAACCAAGGUCAAAGCUAGUGAGCUGCUGCAGGGCAGGUCAAGGAAUCCAGACUUUAAAAUUCUCCCUCCCCACCCCACACACACACUCGUUACAAGUGUGUCCCAGGCAUUAUACAGGGUUAGUUUAGUUUUUCUCCCCCCACCCCCACCCCUGUAUCUUUGAAAUGUUUUAUAGGAAAACGAAAACCAGAUUUUUUCUAUGCAAGUUUUAGGAGUAUUCAUGAUACCUGAAAAGGGCAGAGUAUACAAGUAUUUUAUACUCCAAAUUUCACUCCAGUUUCAGAAAGUAGUUCUUAGAGAAAGCACACAUAAAUAUCCAUAACAGAGCUUUAAGUAAUAUAUAGGGAUGGUGAUCUAAAGCGAAAUCCCCACCUUGAAAGUAAUGUGAUUGGUGUGGUCAUAAGAGAUGCUUCAGAGUUGACAUACUUUUAAAUUAAGUUUAGUUGUAGUCUUUACAAAAAAAAAAAAUUAAUCAAGAUAAAAUGUUCCUUUUCUAGUCCACUAAACCGUGAAGAACCUUAAGAGCAGGCUGGAGAGGUAGCUCAGCAGUUAAGAGUUCUUGCUGUUCUUGAAGAGAACCCUAGUUCAAUCCCCAGCACCCCACUUUGCCAUUGACAACCCUCUGAAACUCUACUUCUAAGGGAUCCGAUGCCUUCUCUGGCUGCAGAGAACACCAGGCAUGCAAGAGUUACACAUAUAUGCAAACAGGCACAGCAUCAUAUAUAUAAGUAAUAAAUGACUUUAAGA
ensembl:lincRNA